GGUGAAUAUAUUGAUGGGGCUUUUAGAAAAUGUUUACAAAGAGGCACGAACUGCAAGCUCAGAGGCAAUGAAUUGGAGCUCAUUGUAUGAUUGGUGGAAGAAACACUCUACUUUUGGAUGUUGUAUCCGAUGAGAUCCAGAUAAAUGUUUACUAAAAUAAAUGCCAAAUCUGUAAUGGCGAAGCAGGUGAACUUGAUGAGGAUAUUUCCUUCGGGGAAAUCUAAGGGUAAGGUAGACAUUUAGAGCUCGCACACCUGGUGGUUUUUAACAGAGGAACUUGAUGAGGACAUUUGACAGCGUGAAAUAACAGCAUUGCGAAGACACCUAAAAAUGGUGGAGGCGUCAAAUCAAAUUUUUGAAAAUGGUACAUAUCAUCCUUUUACACGACAGUACCAAUAAUAACUCUGGCAGCGAAGACUGUAAAAAACCGUGAAAAAAAAUCAGAUACAAAUCGACGGUGGCAUAUGAAAAUAGCGAACAAAAAUCAAUGAAAGUGCGAACAGAUGAUAACGGAGGUAAAUGGUGGAGACGUCAAAUCAAAUUUUUGAAAAUGGUACAUCUUAUCCUUUUACACGACAGGAACAGUAAUAACUCUGCCAGUCUUCACUGUAAAAAUUGAAAAAAAAAAUCAGAUACAAAUCGACGGCGGCAUAUGAAAAUAGCGAACAAAAAUCAAUGAAAGUGCGAAUAGAUAUAACGGAGGGCUCUUGCAUUGUCUUAGAUAGCAUAUCAACCGUAAAUGCUGAACAUGAGGCUGUCUCUUAUAAUGAAAAUAGCGAACAAAAAUCAAUGAAAGUGCGAAUAGAUAUAACGGAGGGCUCUUGCAUUGACUUAGAUAGCAUAUCAACCGUAAAUGCUGAACAUGAGGCUGUCCAUUUCAUAUAAGAAACGCCAUAUUUUUCUCUUCAAGGAUUCCUUGAGGUAUAAGGAUUAGAUGAGUCAAAUUUGUUCAUUGAGGUAUGCUAUACCCUUUCACUAGGUAAUUAUAUUUGAUGAACAAUAAUUAAUUAA